AAAGUAGUACUAACAUCUGUAGGUGAACGUGCGGAAGGAUCAUUACCACAAUGCGAGUUUUGACGUUUGGCGUGUCGUUUCGACCGCCAUGCUCCUCGCAGAUCUUCCAAGAUCAAUGACUGUGAAACUUGUAUGUACUCUUAGAUAUGUACUUUCGUGGUGUCGGGUUCUGCCCGAUGCCACACAACCACAAUACCCUUAAAUACGAAAAAAACCUCAACCUUAAGAAAAGAAGGUGCGGCUGACUGCACUUGUUGCAAUCGGCCCCUUCGCAUAUGACGCAAAUGCCAUACGACUUUCAGCAACGGAUGUCUUGGCUCCCACAACGAUGAAGAACGCAGCGAAAUGCGAUACGUAGUGUGAUCUGCAUGUUUUCGUGAAUCAUCAAAUCUUUGAACGCACAUUGCACUUCCUGUAACUACAGGGAGUAUGCUUAUUUGAGUGUCUGCAAACCCCACUCUUCUCAAUCAUAUUGGUUGACGAAGGACUAUGCGGUUGGACGGCUACGACGGUUUAUYGUUGCAGGCGUCCUCCCGUCAAAUUCAGGGCUUUGCGAGAUAAUACUCCAAACGCGACGUACAAGCCCACAUGGUACUAGAGUGCUUCGGCGCCCUUUUUGAAUGUGCACGGUUACAACGUGGCGGUUGUCUCGAUCGGCGUUGUGCGGCUGCUCCUCGCAGUCGCAUCACACAACCUUCAAAACAGAUCUCUAAUUAAGAAAGAACACCCGCUGUAUUUAAGCUAAA
rnacentral:rRNA from 1 species